GGUCCGGGAGGUAGCUCAGUGGAGAAAGCACUGGACUCUCAAACAUGGGGCCCUGAGUUUGAUCCCCAGCUGCA
rnacentral:miRNA from 1 species